UACGAAGGGGGCUAGCGUUGUUCGGAAUUACUGGGCGUAAAGCGCACGUAGGCGGAUUGUUAAGUCAGAGGUGAAAUCCCGGAGCUCAACUUCGGAACUGCCUUUGAUACUGGCAAUCUCGAGUCCGGAAGAGGUUAGUGGAAUUCCCAGUGUAGAGGUGAAAUUCGUAGAUAUUGGGAAGAACACCAGUGGCGAAGGCGGCUACCUGGACCGGUACUGACGCUGAGGCGCGAAAGCUAGGGUAGCAAACAGG
rnacentral:rRNA from 1 species